rnacentral:lncRNA from 1 species
ACCACGGUCUUACAUACAGUAGCGCGAUUCUGUAACUCGUUAUGCUGUCGUUAUGGACUCAUAACGACAAGUUUCGUUAUGCUACCGACCGCGUCGCUAUUAUAACGACAAAUGCGAUUCUGUACACUAUUCUUAGCGAGUUUUGUCGUUAUUAGUAACGAAAAGUGUCGUUAUGAUGUCGUUACGGUGCGAGCGGAUAGCGAGGCUCAGAGACCCCCUCGGUACGCUAUAACGACGAUUAUAACGACACUUUGCACACGAGCUAGAGGAGUGGUGUGCGUUUCCCAUAUUUUUCUCGACUCCGAGAAAGUGCUUCGAAAAGUGCUCCGAAAGUGAAAAAUAAUUACGACGUUUGAAAUAACAAGUGAUGCUGGAUAUCCGUUGGAGCCUUGGCUGUUAACACCUCUGGCCAAUUUUCCUGAAGAUACGCGACAACAUCAAUAUACACAACAACUAUGUAAGGCUAGAAGCGUCGUCGAGCGGUUUUUUGGAGUUUUUAAAUCUGUAUGGAGAUGCUUGUCAUACCAGCGAGUCUUGAUGUACGAACCAGCGUUCGCAGCGAAAAUUGUUAAUGCGUGUGCAGUACUGCACAACA